rnacentral:lncRNA from 1 species
AUCUGAGAAAAACAAGAUGGUUAGCUGAGAAGAUACACACCUUCAGGAUGCUUUUUCAUGCCAUUAGCCCCAGAGGAAGCUUCCCGGUGGCUUCCAGCUGGAUGAAAGCAAGACCUUGUGUUCUUUAUUAGAGCCAGAGGGUAGGACUGGACAAACUUCAAGACCCAGACCAGAUCCAUAGUGACCACGAUGGUUUCUCCUGAAGCAGCCCUGAAACCGAAGUCUCCUGGUGGCCAGGAGGUGGAAGAUUCCUGGUCAUCUGGGCUCCCAGGAUCCAGCUUAUUCUUCAUGUGUUGCUAAAAGAGGACAGAGCAGUUGUUCUCAUAACAGUUCCCUGGCUGAGCAAAUGCUGCAACCCAGUCAUCAGCACUGAAGGCAACUGAGUUCAUGACCUACAUCCUGACUGUUUCUAAAGGGAGCUGUAGCCACCCAGUGAUUUAUUUCAUGGAUGAUCAGCCUUCAAAACUGUGCAACGGUGAUUGGGCAUGAAUCCUGUAAGUGCCAAUAAUGUGUGAAGUCUGUGUUCAGUGCCCCAGGGCUGCAUUGUGCCUCGAAAGAGUCAGCCUGGAUUCGUGGCUUGAGGUGGAAGCCAAAGUGACUGCAGCCACUUAUACGAGGUGGACUGACCUGCUGCUCUGGUGCCCUUCCCUGGGCACCCAGCCCUGCUGGGUGGUCUCUGUCCUGACCCAGGACCUGUGAUUGACGUG